UCACAGUUUGCACUGGCAGUCUUGUUAGAGUUCUCGACAUGUCAAGGCCAGGUAAGGUUCUUCGCGUUGCAUCGAAUUAAACCACAUACUCCACCGCUUGUGCGGGCCCCCGUCAAUUCCUUUGAGUUUCAGUCUUGCGACCGUACUCCCCAGGCGGCGAACUUAACGCGUUAGCUUCGAUACUGCGUGCCAAAUUGCACCCAACAUCCAGUUCGCAUCGUUUAGGGCGUGGACUAC
rnacentral:misc_RNA from 1 species